GAUGAACGCUGGCGGCGUGCCUAAUACAUGCAAGUCGAGCGAACAGACGAGGAGCUUGCUCCUCUGACGUUAGCGGCGGACGGGUGAGUAACACGUGGAUAACCUACCUAUAAGACUGGGAUAACUUCGGGAAACCGGAUCUAAUACCGUAUAAUCUAUUGAACCGCAUGGUUCAAUAGUGAAAGACGGUUUUGCUGUCACUUAUAGAUGGAUCCGCGCCGCAUUAGCUAGUUGGUAAGGUAACGGCUUACCAAGGCGACGAUGCGUAGCCGACCUGAGAGGGUGAUAGGCCACACUGGAACUGAGACACGGUCAAGACUCCUAAGGGAGGCAGCAGUAGGGAAUCUUCCGCAAUGGGCGAAAGCUUGACGGAGCAACGCCGCGUGAGUGAUGAAGGUCUUCGGAGCGUAAAAAUCUGUUAUUAGGGAAGAACAAAUGUGUAAGUAACUAUGCACGUCUUGACGGUACCUAAUCAGAAAGCCACGGCUAACUACGUG
rnacentral:rRNA from 1 species